rnacentral:tRNA from 1 species
UGGCUCAGUGGAUAAAGUGCUUGCCUUGCAAGCAUGAGGACAUGGGUUCAAUCCCCAA